rnacentral:lncRNA from 1 species
UUCAGCUCAGAUUCAUAGACAACUUUCCUGCAAUUCACGAAUAACAAAUUACUCCAUUUCUUUGCAGACAGAACACUGUUACGCAAAAUUCUCAGGCCAUGGUAAAGCAACAAUGGCCUGAACUAUAUGAUGUACUAGGAUAAACAUGAACUAUAUGCUACUUACAAUGGCAUAUUUGGCAUAUACCGACAACUACUCUUGAAUUAUGAUCUAUUUGUUCCGGAUAUCUCAAGACACAAACUCUCUCUCACGAACUACGAAAUAUUAGUCAUUUUGGUCCACUAACUUUCAUAAAAUUUUCAUUUUGGUCCACAAAGUUUCAUUUGGUCAAUUUGGUCCGCAAACUUUUAUUUUGUUUGCAAUUUGGUCUCAAAUCAAGUCAUAAAUCAAGUCAAUUUGAGACCAAAUUGCAAACAAAAUGAAAGUUUGCGGACCAAAUUGACCAAAUGAAACUUUGUGGACCAAAAUGAAAAUUUUGUGAAAGUUCGUGGACCAAAAUGGCUAUUUUCUCCACGAACUACAGUUAAACACAUUUGAGCUAGGGAACAUUGACAGGAAACCAGUGAAUCAAGUCAGCUAGCAAAUGUUCAUUGGGCUCACAUCAGAUUCGGAUAAACUCACAUGUCGAUAGACAGAACCUAAUUGUUUUCAUUGCUGAAAGUAGCUAUUACAUAUAAUAUGACUUAAUGCUUUAAUUGAUAAUAUAAUGAUAUUAUCAAAUAGUAUUUCAUAGUGAUCUUAGAGUAUAUAACAAUGUCACUAGUUAAAGAACAAUUACUGAACUACGUUACAAACCAACACAGAUGUUUAAUGAUCUCUCGUCUACCAAUAUGUGUUACCACCGAUUUUUUGAAUAAAUGUAUACCUAUUGGCUAUUGCAAUAAUAAAUGUUUCAGUUUUGUAAUUUCAAAUGUCAAUAAGUUCAGAACAACAGGUAAAUGCAAGAUAUAUGUUCAGCUUAAAAUAAUUGCAUUGCCCAUGAGUCAUGACAAACAGUGGCGUAGCCAGGAUUUUAAGUCAGGGUACGCACUCAAUUUCACGAUAAUAAUAAAAAAAAAAUUCUAGUAAAGUAAACAACCAAAUACUAAAAAAAAAAAAAAAAAUUCUAGUAAACAACCAAAAAUAAAAAUGUGUUAAUCAAAUGAUCAAUCAACAAAUUAUCAGAAAAAUCAAUUCAAAAAUAUGUAAUUGAAUAGUGUGGGCAUAGAAUUAACAAGAAGAAAAGCAAGAAUUUUAUAAAAAAAAUACUAAAAAAAAAAAUCAAUUAACAAAUUAUGAGAAAAAUCAAUUCAAAAAUAUGUAAUUGAAUAGUGUGGGCAUAGUUAAUAAGAAAAACAAGAAUUUUAGAAAAAAAAAAAAAAUACAAACUUUGCAAACCUGAAAUCCCUAAUUAAAUAGAAUAAACUUAAAUAUUAUAAUUUUAGAAUAUAAAUAUAUAUACAAUCAAAUCAUAAAAAAAAACUUAUAAAUAAUAAUUUAUUAGAAAUUAAAUUAAAUUGCAUUGGUAGGUAGCGAGGAGAGUCAGAGAGAUACCUGUAGGCUGUAGUGUACUAGUGCUUGAGAGAGAUACAAUAGUGUAAUAGUGUUGAGAGAGAGAAUAUCUCACGUUUUGACUUCCCACGUCACCCCAUCCCAUAAAUUUGGGCUCACUUUCUAUAUAUUCAGUUCAUAUUCCAAUCAAUACACUAACAGUAUCUAAAAGUGUUUUAGUCACACAAGGAAACAAGUAUUAAAAAGAUUUGAUCUGAUCCCAAUUGUGAAUUGCCAACCACGUAUAAAAAAAAAUUAUAAAUAUUUUUCAAAAUCUCAGGGUACGCACGUGCGUACCCUUACACCCCCUGGCUCCGCCCCUGAUGACAAAGGGACUAACCUGCCCGAAUUGCUGCCUUACAUUUUUGAUACGUUCCUCAACUUGUUCUGCAGUCAAAAGAUCAAUCUCUGGGUAAAUACGCAAAAAUUGUAUUCAGGCAUUUGGUCUUGUAUUUCAAAUUUUAUCUCUAUGGGCACAUUUGCUUCACGAUGCUUUAUGCACCUUCAGGAUCUGAUUUAACCUUUAGGUAGAUGAAACUAGUAUGGUCAAACCUAGUACCGCAUUGCUCUAUGUAUAUAUAUUUUUUUCACAAUUUUGCAGUCCUGAUCAUAAAAAUGUGUUCUUGCAGUCCUGCUCAUAAUUUUGUCUUGAAGAUGAUCAGACUGCUAGACUCUAUUGAGAAGUGUUGCCUUCCAAGCCAUCAAGAUCAUUGAGACAGUGGUUUCAAGUAAAUAAAAUUUUAAGAAGACGUCCAUCCAUUUUAUCCACACCAACCACACUUGCCAUUAAAAACACUGCAGAUAUAUGAAUUAUACUUACCAUAAUGGGAAUACGAAAUCAUAAUGGUCAAUAUUGUAUUACUUUGCAAAUCAGAUCAGAUGCUUGGUCUACUUAAAAAUUGUUCUGGUUUACAAAGACACUAUGCAAACUGACCUUGGAUGCAAUUGAAUAUAUGAAUUAUACUUACCAAAAGAAACCUUUGGAAGUGGAGGGGUACGUAGUGAAGAUAGAAAUAUUGAUCUACCCUGACCACAAAAUUCUAAAAUACAUUCAGAUGGUAGACUUACAUGUUUCUAUUUUUUGUGAUUAAGCAAAACCUUAUAUGAAUGGAACGCAUUCAAGCAUUCAACGCCGAUAAUCUUCCUUUGGUAUUCAGUAAAUCCACCUAGGUCGUCACAUUCAAUGCAGGAAAAAG